rnacentral:rRNA from 1 species
GACGAACGCUGGCGGCGUGCUUAACACAUGCAAGUCGAACGGUAAGGCCCUUCGGGGUACACGAGUGGCGAACGGGUGAGUAACACGUGGGUGAUCUGCCCUGCACUUCGGGAUAAGCCUGGGAAACUGGGUCUAAUACCGGAUAGGACCCUGGGAUGCAUGUCCUGGGGUGGAAAGCUUUUGGGGUGUGGGUUGGGCCCGGGGGCUAUCAGAUUGUUGGUGGGGUGAUGGCCUAACAAGGCGACGACGGGUGGCCGGCCUGAGAGGGUGACGGGCCAGGCUGGGACUGAGAUAGGGGCCAGCAUUCUACGGGAGGGAGCAGUGGGGGGUAGUGCGCAAUGGGCGCGAGGCUGAUGCAGCGACGCCGCGUGAGGGGUGACGGCCUUCGGGUUGUAAACCUGUUUCAGCACCGACGAAGCGCAAGUGGCGGUAGGUGCAGAAGAAGGACCGGCCAACUACGUGCCAGCCGCCGCGGUAA